rnacentral:rRNA from 1 species
UGGGAACGUACCUUUUGGUUCGGAAUAACCCCGGGAAACCGGAGCUAAUACCGGAUACGACACGCGAAGGCAUCUUCUGCGUGUAGAGAGAUUUAUCGGUCAGGGAUGGGCUCGCGGCCUAUCAGCUUGUUGGUGGGGUAACGGCCCACCAAGGCGACGAUGCGUAGCCGACCUGAGAGGGUGAUCGGCCACAUUGGAACUGAGACACGGUCCAGACUCCUACGGGAGGCAG